CCAGAAGCUAGCAACUAUGGUUGAGAGAAGCUUGCUGGCUCUGUUUUCCCAAAUGUAGGUGCUCUUCCUUGCCGAGUCACUUCCUGUGGCACUGAUCUUGCACAGCUGCCUGAUCUCACCUCUGGAUCGUGUUCUGGACCUGAAUUGAUUCCCUGUGCUUGACCCUGCUUUGUUUGGACUGUAUUGCACCUUUGACCCUCCUCUCCUUGCAUUCCCUGGGUGGCACCAUCUCUCAGGCAAGCCUACCUCUCGGGUUUGUUGUGAGGAUAAGAGGACCUGCCUUUGUGGAGUGUUGGGAACCAACGGCGAAAAAGUAACCAGAGUUACACCACCUCCUGUGCACGCAACAGAGAUAUGACUCGACCUCAGAGAGAGCUCUGAUUGCUGCUGGAAGAGUUGCUGGGGGUCUCUCGAGAUGAAGAAGCCUUUGCAAUGUGCAUGAAACACUGAGUGAGGUAAUCGAUGCCGCUCCUGGGCCACAGCCCCAGGCGCAUCGUGACUUAAGUUGUUCUUGCAGGACUUGGGGUGGGACAGUCUUCUUGAUCUGGAACUCGCCUUUUAGACCCACCUAGGAGGCCGCUUUUCUUCUAUCUGAUCAUGACUAGGAGAAAAGAAAAAAGGAUGUGGUAGAACAUGCUGGUUAAGGACAGAGUUAGCCUCAAGGCAAAGAUGACUGCUUUGUUUCUCUAGCCCCCCCUCCCCCGAAUCAGCUGAAAUGCCAUUGUUGGAUGCAAAAUGUUUUGACUUAAAGACCUGACGGUCAGGUUGCUUACGGCUGAUGUCCAGAAUUAUGUUUCCAUAUAUGGAGUCAGGGAAAGUGAUACAACUUUGUCAAUAGCAGGGCCAGUCCAAGAAAUUUGCUCUUGGAGGCAAAAGAGAAGAUGUCACACACACACAUACCCCAGUCACACCUACGAAAGCCAACCAGGCUGGCAGCUCAAUUCUUCCUCCAAGUCUGGUGAUACUAUGGCCUCUUCCACUGCCCUCGCGAGCCCCUGGCUUCGGGAAGGAGUGGGGAGCCUUUUCUGCCUGGCAGGCCAGAUCCUUAUCUUCCUACACCUGGAGGGCCCAAAUUUGACAGGUGGGCAGGGCAGCCCAUCUGCCAGUUGUUGGACGUCAUUACAAUGUUGGGUGAUGCUGUGCUUUGAAGCCCGGAUUGUCAGAACUUCCAAGUGCAGUUUGGAGCUCUUUUGCAAGCAGCUCUGAAAGCCAGAGGUCCAGAGAGCAGCGUGAGGCUGCUUUCAAAAGGGCUUUGAACCUCUGGGUUUCAUUCAGUGGAAACUACUUUGCCAUCCUGAAGCAGAGCACCUUGGUACAGGAUAGAAACCCCUGGGGACUUGCAUUAAGCUUCUGAUUAUGCCUUGGAAGCUCUGCUCUUACUUGCCUUACACCCGGCUUCAUGUAUGCCAUCUGUGGGCACGGGUGGGCAUGGCUUGUUCCAAAUGGCCUUGUGGGCCCAAUCUGGCCUGUGGGCUAAACAUUCCCCAACCCCUGGCUUGGGUGGGGGCAUGCAGAGCAAAUUGCGCGGUACGCACAGCUCUGUGUGCUCCAUGCCCUUGAGCCAUUUGCCACCUGAUUUGGCCAUCUUUCUCUCUCUAGCGCAGGCAUGGGGAACCUUUGGUCUUCCAGAGGUUGCUGAACUACAACUCCCAUGGCCAUCCCUAGCCAUUGGGCCUGCUUGCCGGGGCUGUCAUAUCUGGGGCUCAGAGGCGGGACCAGAGUUCAGACUGGCAGGUUUGUGGUGGAGCUUCCAGGAUCUGGUCUUGGCUGCUUUUGAGAUCUGGCUGAUUCCACCUCUCUGUGUUUUCUUUUCUUUUUAAAAUCUCAUUUCAGUGCACUUAAACUUAAGACCCAUUGAAGUGCAUGGACCUCAGUCAUCGCCAUUCAUUUCAAUGGGUCUCCUCUGAGUAAGAUCAGCGUUGGGCACAACUCAAUAUAAUUAAUGAUGAUUAUAAUAAAUAAUAAUAAUUUAUUUUAUAAUCCCAAAUACUGCUUGCUUGUCAACUGUUCUUUUGGUGCACAUUUUGGCAACCAGACCUAUAUUUAUACUUUAUAUAAAUGGCAUCAAUAAUAAUAUUUUGUUUGCUUGUUAUUGGCAUCGCACUGGUACUAUCAGAGUACCAGAAUCAGCACCACACGAAGAGUGUGUGUCUGCAUUGUAAGUUCAUUGGGGCGAGGCUUCUCUAAGAGCUGAUAGUAUUGAUCUCUACAGCGCAAGGAUGAAAACUAGAGAGGAAACGUUAGUGGGAUGAGUGUGCAAGGAUACACACAUUCAGGGCAACUUCAGGAGGG